rnacentral:rRNA from 1 species
UGGGGAAUCUUGCACAAUGGGGGCAACCCUGAUGCAGCGACGCCGCGUGAGCGAUGAAGCCCUUCGGGGCGUAAAGCUCUUUCGACCGGAACGAUAAUGACGGUACCGGGAGAAGAAGCUGCGGCUAACUAUGUGCCAGCAGCCGCGGUAAUACGUAGGCAGCAAGCGUUGUUCGGAGUUACUGGGCGUAAAGAGUGCGUAGGCGGUUUUCUAAGUUCGGUGUGAAAUCUCCCGGCUUAACUGGGAGGGUGCGCCGAAGACUGGGAAGCUGGAGUGUGGGAAAGGCAGGCGGAAUUCCUGGUGUAGCGGUGAAAUGCGUAGAUAUCAGGAGGAACACCGGCGGUGUAGACGGCUUGCUAGACCAUAACUGACGCUGAGGCACGAAAGCGUGGGUAGCAAACA